AAGUGGAUCCAGCCACGUUAGCAAAUUAAUUCUGUGAAAAAAAACACCCGUGACCCCCUAUUCUCUCUCCUCUCCUCAAAUUAAUUUCCCAGCUACACCCGUGACACAUUCCUCCGCCCUCCCAUCUCCCCGGCGAUUCGGGCGACCACCACCGGAAGUGAGCCCGACCUCAAGUGAGAAGGACCGCCAUCUCCGUCCGUCGCCGGAGUCAGCCCCUCGCUCGAGUUCGCCGUAGUCCCCUCCCCAACAGAUCUAGGGUCCUAGUAGGCGAUAUUUGGGUAUCAUGCAGACAUAAUAGGAGCAGAAUAGGCGCGCUCUUCUUCAACUUUUGUGCAAACCAGCGACUUUGUUUCAUCCAGACAGAAUAGGAGCAGAAUAGGAGCGAAUAUAGGCUUGUCAUCCUUGCAUCAGAAUUGUGUUUCAUAUUGUGCUUCAGAUAUUGGAUGUUUUCAGAUAUUUGUUUCAGACAAUCAACUCAAGUUAGAAUUUUAGUUGAACAUCGUGUUUUACCAUGAAUCUUUUAUUAUGUAAUCUAAGAAUUUCUGAGAUGUAAUAUGAAAUCACAGCUUACAGCUGAAAUUUGCAGUCAGUAAAGUGUACACAGAUUUAGUUUUGAUUGGAAUUUACAGGCAUAUUAACUUGCUACAGA